AAUCAACGCUGGCGGCGUGCCUCAGACAUGCAAGUCGAACGCGAAAGUCCCCUUCGGGGGGCAAGUAGAGUGGCGCACGGGUGAGUAACACGUAGGUAAUCUACCUUUGGAUGGGGAAUAACAACCGGAAACGGUUGCUAAUACCGCAUAAUGCAGCGGCACCUAAUGGUGACAGUUGUUAAAGCGGGGGAUCGAAAGACCUCGCGUCUGAAGAGGAGCCUGCGGCGGAUUAGCAGUUGGUAAGGUAACGGCUUACCAAGGCAACGAUCCGUAGCCGGCCUGAGAGGGCGGUCGGCCACACUGACACUGACAUACGGGUCAGACUCCUACGGGAGGCAGCAGUCGGGAAUUUUGGGCAAUGGGCGAAAGCCUGACCCAGCAACGCCGCGUGAAGGAUGAAAUCCCUCGGG
rnacentral:rRNA from 1 species